rnacentral:rRNA from 1 species
GGGCGUUGGGCGUUAAGUUGCAGGGUAUAGACCCGAAACCCGGUGAUCUAGCCAUGGGCAGGUUGAAGGUUGGGUAACACUAACUGGAGGACCGAACCGACUAAUGUUGAAAAAUUAGCGGAUGACCUGUGGCUGGGGGUGAAAGGCCAAUCAAACCGGGAGAUAGCUGGUUCUCCCCGAAAGCUAUUUAGGUAGCGCCUCGUGAAUUCAUCUCCGGGGGUAGAGCACUGUUUCGGCUAGGGGGCCAUCCCGGCUUACCAACCCGAUGCAAACUGCGAAUACCGGAGAAUGUUAUCACGGGAGACACACGGCGGGUGCUAACGUCCGUCGUGAAGAGGGAAACAACCCAGACCGCCAGCUAAGGUCCCAAAGUCAUGGUUAAGUGGGAAACGAUGUGGGAAGGCCCAGACAGCCAGGAUGUUGGCUUAGAAGCAGCCAUCAUUUAAAGAAAGCGUAAUAGCUCACUGGUCGAGUCGGCCUGCGCGGAAGAUGUAACGGGGCUAAACCAUGCACCGAAGCUGCGGCAGCGAAC